UGGGGUGUGGCUCAGUGGUAGAGCGCUUGCUUAGCAUGUAUGAGGCACCAGGUUUGAUUCUUAGCACCGCAU
rnacentral:tRNA from 1 species